rnacentral:pre_miRNA from 1 species
AAAGGGAUAGCUGGGUCAAAUGGUGGUUCCAUUCCCAGAUUUCCAAGGAAUCUCCAUACUGCUUUCCAAAUUGGCUGCACCAAUUUGCAGUCCCACCAGCAAU